AAAGCAAAAAAAAAGGUUCGACUGAAAGGUCAAUAUCAGCUGGUAAUUCUGGGCUUACCCCACCGUUAUACGCUUCCCGGAAUUCCAACUGAUAUCCACUUUUUAGUCGAGAUGGUCAAAAUUGUUCACC
rnacentral:pre_miRNA from 11 species